UGUUGCAGAUGCUCCUUGAUCCUAUGCAACAUCUGAACUCUGUGUUGGAGCAUAUUGUGAGCUGCUGGUAUAAUGGUGUCAUGAUAAGGACCCAUAGGAAGUGAUAGAGGCUUGUAACCACAAAGGGCUUCAAAAAGGGAUACUCCCAGACUAGUAUGGCAUUGAUUCAGGCUUUCACUUUGACCAUCUGUCUCUGGAUGAUAGGAUGAGCUAUAAUGCAGAGCAGUGCCAAUCAUUCUAAAGAGUUCCUGCCAGAAUUUGCUAAUGAACAACUUAUCUCUAUCAGUCACAAUAGACUCAGCAUUUAGGGGCAAAAGGAGCUAGGAAAUUAACUUUUGAAGCCUUCCUGUCAGUUAGACGUGGGCACGCCUAAGUAUGAUAUCCAAAGCCGGAUUUGCGGGAUUGUUGGCCACGUGCAAACUUCCAAAUAUUUGGAGAUUCCUUCGCGGGUGACAAUUCUGGAACAAUGCUGACUUAGCCAAUUUGCACGUGAAGAGUCAUUUGGCAAUAAGACUUCAAUUGGAUUUCAAUUGAUUUGGUUCCUUCUUUGACUAAACGUGCUGACCCACAAAAGCAGGAAGACUACUGGGUCUCUUUUGGGAGACAGCCGCACGAGGACUCUAUAAAUACAAUCCCUUUGCUGGCUUCAGGGGAUAUCUCUCUCUCUCUCUCUCUCUCUCGACAUAAACAAGUUUUAGUUUAGGCUUUUAGCAUAGUUUUAGAUUUUCUUUUCUUAGCUUUUCCGCGGGGGUUGUUCUCCAUUAAUGGAGGACUAACCUCCUAUUGCUAGUCAAGGGGACAACUAAAGAUUUGGUUCAACAAUUACUGUGAGAUCUAAUUUAUUUUAAUUGCUUCC